ensembl:snoRNA Gm24553 small nucleolar RNA SNORA17
CCUGCUCCUAGAGUUUUGCAGGUGAUGAGGCUAUAUCCUAUGUGCAUCAAUAGUUAACAGAGAGGGUAGAGGCCAUGUCUAUGCUGUGUUCUGACCUGUGAACAACUGAAUGAUUAGUAGCUUAAGGUU